UGCAGUCGAGCGGUAGCACAGAGAGCUUGCUCUCGGGUGACGAGCGGCGGACGGGUGAGUAAUGUCUGGGAAACUGCCUGAUGGAGGGGGAUAACUACUGGAAACGGUAGCUAAUACCGCAUAACGUCGCAAGACCAAAGUGGGGGACCUUCGGGCCUCAUGCCAUCAGAUGUGCCCAGAUGGGAUUAGCUGGUAGGUGGGGUAACGGCUCACCUAGGCGACGAUCCCUAGCUGGUCUGAGAGGAUGACCAGCCACACUGGAACUGAGACACGGUCCAGACUCCUACGGGAGGCAGCAGUGGGGAAUAUUGCACAAUGGGCGCAAGCCUGAUGCAGCCAUGCCGCGUGUGUGAAGAAGGCCUUCGGGUUGUAAAGCACUUUCAGCGGGGAGGAAGGCGGUGAGGUUAAUAACCUCAUCGAUUGACGUUACCCGCAGAAGAAGCACCGGCUAACUCCGUGCCAGCAGCCGCGGUAAUACGGAGGGUGCAAGCGUUAAUCGGAAUUACUGGGCGUAAAGCGCACGCAGGCGGUCUGUCAAGUCGGAUGUGAAAUCCCCGGGCUCAACCUGGGAACUGCAUUCGAAACUGGCAGGCUAGAGUCUUGUAGAGGGGGGUAGAAUUCCAGGUGUAGCGGUGAAAUGCGUAGAGAUCUGGAGGAAUACCGGUGGCGAAGGCGGCCCCCUGGACAAAGACUGACGCUCAGGUGCGAAAGCGUGGGGAGCAAACAGGAUUAGAUACCCUGGUAGUCCACGCUGUAAACGAUGUCGAUUUGGAGGUUGUGCCCUUGAGGCGUGGCUUCCGGAGCUAACGCGUUAAAUCGACCGCCUGGGGAGUACGGCCGCAAGGUUAAAACUCAAAUGAAUUGACGGGGGCCCGCACAAGCGGUGGAGCAUGUGGUUUAAUUCGAUGCAACGCGAAGAACCUUACCUGGUCUUGACAUCCACAGAACUUUCCAGAGAUGGAUUGGUGCCUUCGGGAACUGUGAGACAGGUGCUGCAUGGCUGUCGUCAGCUCGUGUUGUGAAAUGUUGGGUUAAGUCCCGCAACGAGCGCAACCCUUAUCCUUUGUUGCCAGCGGUUCGGCCGGGAACUCAAAGGAGACUGCCAGUGAUAAACUGGAGGAAGGUGGGGAUGACGUCAAGUCAUCAUGGCCCUUACGACCAGGGCUACACACGUGCUACAAUGGCAUAUACAAAGAGAAGCGACCUCGCGAGAGCAAGCGGACCUCAUAAAGUAUGUCGUAGUCCGGAUUGGAGUCUGCAACUCGACUCCAUGAAGUCGGAAUCGCUAGUAAUCGUAGAUCAGAAUGCUACGGUGAAUACGUUCCCGGGCCUUGUACACACCGCCCGUCACACCAUGGGAGUGGGUUGCAAAAGAAGUAGGUAGCUUAACCUUCGGGAGGGCGCUACC
rnacentral:rRNA from 1 species